CUUAGGGAUAAGGGGUGCCACCAUCAGGUGGCCGCAGAGAAUAGGCCCAAGCGACUGUUUACCAAAAACAUAGGUUUCUGCUAAGUCGCAAGACGAUGUAUAGGAGCUGACGCCUGCCCGGUGCUGGCAGGUUAAGGGGAUCUGUUAGAGCAAUCGAAGCAGUGAACUUAAGCCCCAGUAAACGGCGGCCGUAACUAUAACGGUCCUAAGGUAGCGACAUUCCUUGUCGGGUAAGUUCCGACCCGCACGAAAGGCGUAACGAUUUGGGCACUGUCUCAACAACCGACUCGGUGAGAUUGUAAUUCCGGUGAAGAUGCCGGAUACCUGCGACAGGACGGAAAGACC
rnacentral:rRNA from 1 species